GGGUAAAAACUUAAGCAUAUCAAUAAGCGGAGGAAAAGAAACUAACAAGGAUUCCCCUAGUAACUGCGAGUGAAGCGGGAAAAGCUCAAAUUUAAAAUCUGGCAGUCUUUGAUUGUCCGAGUUGUAAUCUGGAGAAGUGCUUUCCGCGCUGGACCGUGUACAAGUCUCUUGGAAUAGAGCGUCAUAGAGGGUGAGAAUCCCGUCUUUGACACGGACUACCGGUGCUUUGUGAUGCGCUUUCAAAGAGUCGAGUUGUUUGGGAAUGCAGCUCAAAAUGGGUGGUAAAUUCCAUCUAAAGCUAAAUAUUGGCGAGAGACCGAUAGCGAACAAGUACCGUGAGGGAAAGAUGAAAAGCACUUUGGAAAGAGAGUUAAACAGUACGUGAAAUUGCUGAAAGGGAAACACUUGAAGUCAGUCGCGUUGUUCAGAACUCAGCCUGGCCUUGGCCUGGUGCAUUUUCUGAAUGACGGGCCAGCAUCAAUUUCGACUGUUGGAUAAAGGUUGGGGAAAUGUGGCUUCUUCGGGAGUGUUAUAGUCCUUGGCUGCAUACAAUGGUUGGGAUUGAGGAACUCAGCAUGCCUUUAUGGUCGGGGUUCGCCCACGUUCAUGCUUAGGAUGCUGGCGUAAUGGCUUUAAAUGACCCGUCUUGAAACACGGACCAAGGAGUCUAACAUGCCUGCAAGUGUUUGGGUGGAAAACCCGAGCGCGCAAUGAAAGUGAAAGUUGGGAUCCCUGUCGUGGGGAGCACCGACGCCCGGACCAGACCUUCUGUGACGGAUCCGCGGUGGAGCAUGUAUGUUGGGACCCGAAAGAUGGUGAACUAUGCCUGAAUAGGGUGAAGCCAGAGGAAACUCUGGUGGAGGCUCGUAGCGAUUCUGACGUGCAAAUCGAUCGUCAAAUUUGGGUAUAGGGGCGAAAGACUAAUCGAACCCUUUUGCCC
rnacentral:rRNA from 1 species